UAAAUUUACAUAUAAAUGAGAGUGGAUGAUUUGGGAUACAUGAAAUGUGUUAAAUUCAACAUCAGUUUUUACAAUGUAUAAUUAAUACCCUUAUAUGCAUAACAUCAAUAUUAAAAAUAUGUAUCAGCGAGAAAAUGUGUGUGUUGAAGUUAAGUUGACUCUAGGUUUUGUUAUGAACUGGCGAAUUGUUGUUCGUUAGGACAAACGAAGUAGGAUUCCGCGAAUAGAAAGUGUUUAAAGCAUACAAAAUGUACACGGCAAAGUAAACAUCAUACAUCUAAUAGUUUUUGUAACGCCACGUUAAAGCUGCGCUAGCGAAUUAUCUCGUUCUUUUCUCCUCUGGAGCCGUGACGAGCAGACGUAUUUGCAAAUUCUUGUGUGCGCCAGUUUGAAUAACCGAUAUGAGCCAUUUCGCAGUGACUGGAACUCAAUAAAUAAUCUGGAUUAUAGAGCAGCUUUACUGCAGUCGAAGUCCCUGAACUGUGCCUUGAAAACAGUUCCUCACGAACAUUCACAGCUAAGAUGCGUUGUACAAAAACCAAUACGUAUCCGCAUGCCGGCCAUGAUGGAUUGUCGGAGCUAUGGGAAACUAUCUGUCAAGCACAAUAUCGACCCUCGCCCUCUUCGUUCAACCCCUACAAACUCGGGGGUUCACUCUCGUUGCCGCCAUCCGUUCUGGGGGUGCGUUCUGCAAUGAACAGAUGGUAACUUAUCAUCAGCAUUGCUGAAGUAUUUCUAACGACGCACUCACAAGCAUGGUCUUCAAGCUUUCCUAUGUUGUAAUGCGAUGCACAGUACAUUUGGUUUCAACGAAAGAGUUAUCACUACAUAAAACACUUAAAACGUUACAAAAAUAAGAAUAAAAGCAGGACGUCCGUGCACGCACGCUUUACGUUUUCAGCCAUCUUGGUUCGUGUGAACAGCGCAGCUGCAUAGCGAUUCCCCCACUCUAUCUAGUCACCCCUCGGUUCUAUCGUUCUAAACUCGUCGAAUAAUUUCAAGUUAGUUUGCAUUUAUUACGCAUACAUAUACGUAAAAGAGAGAUGACUUAUAUAUACAAUUACAUCCAAUUUGUAUAAUUUAUACGAAUGCAAAUAAUAAACCUAUAUUUAUUUACAAUUAUUUAUAUUAUUUACAAUUUUUUAUAUGAUGAGGAAGAUUUUUUUAUGUUUGAUCCAAAUGUUGUCCAUUUCUUUAAACUUCUGAAUAGUUUUUACGAAUAUAUUACAUUUAUCUAAGGAUUGUAAAUUACACUUGUAAAUAAAUAUAGAUUUAUCAUAUGCCUUCGUAUAUUUGAGUAGUUGUUACGAAAUAUAUAUAAGAUACUAAACCUCUACCUAAUAUUUAACUUAGUCUAUAUAUAAUAUUCACAAAAUCAUUAGUCAAAUUUAUGUGUAUUUGGCUUGAUCAGUCAAAAUAUUUUUAGGAAUGACGUGUGCAAUAAUUUCAGGCACACUUUUGAAAUGCGAAGCUAUCGACAGGGUGUUCCGAGGAAAACGACGAGAACGGCCGAGCUUUCGGGUACCUGGAUAGGACGCUCGCUGUUUAGCUCGUCCAGCCAUAAAUCAUAGUGGUUGCAAGGUCAGCUGCCCCGAUCUCGGCCGCCACAGCAUUCCCUCUUCACAAACCAGUGUAAAAGGACUAACUUUGUCACGAAUUCGUUAUAAUUUCGUUUUUAA